UACGUAGGGGGCGAGCGUUGUCCGGAUUCAUUGGGCGUAAAGAGCUCGUAGGCGGCUUGGUAAGUCGGGUGUGAAACCUCCAGGCUCAACCUGGAGACGCCACUCGAUACUGCCAUGGCUAGAGUCCGGUAGGGGCCCACGGAAUUCCUGGUGUAGCGGUGAAAUGACGCAGAGUAUCAGGAGGAACACCGGUGGCGAAGGCGGUGGGCUGGGCCGGAACUGACACUGAGGCACGAAAGCAUGGGGAGCAAACAGG
rnacentral:rRNA from 1 species